rnacentral:lncRNA from 1 species
CCCUUUCCCCACCUAAAAAAUGGUCAUAAUAAUGGUGUCUACUUCAUGGGGCUCUUAAUAGUUUUAAAGGAAUUGAGUAGUGUAAAACUGACUUGGUCUAAGUUAAGUAUUUAAUAAGUGCUAACUUGACUAUUCUUUUUAUUUUCCAGUGGUACAAGUAUCAUCUCAUUAUUCUUUCACAAAAAUGGCUACUAGUUUGUAUUUAAUCAAUCAGAUGAAACCUGGAUUCAAUUUUUCAGUUUUUAGAAAAUAUACAUGUGAAACUGACAUUCUUUCAAAUAUCUAAUAUUUCCAUCCGGAUGAUGGGUGUCUCUAUAUCAGUUAGGUAUUGAGGUUAUACUGUGGUAACAACCCCCAAAUCUCAACAGCUUGAAAUAGUAAAUAUUGAUUUCUUAUUCAUGGUAUAUGUCCAGUGAGGGGGCUCUAAUCCACACUACGGACUUUGCUUCAUGCAGCAAGUAACUGCUGGCACUUAGAUCUUCCACCUGGAAAUAAAACAAACCACUCCCACUCAGAUUUCAUAAAUAUUAACAGAGAAGUCUCAUGGCUAUACUAAUGUCAAGGGGGAAGGGAAAUUUAAUUCAGCCAUGUAUCUGUAAAGAGAACCAGGAACCAAAUACAGAUAUACCCCGUGUCAGUCACCUUUUCAUUGCUAUCACAAAAUAACCCAGGAAGAUCAACCUAGAGGAGGAAAGAUUUGUUUUUGCUCAGUGCAUAAUCACUUGGCCCUAUCACUGUGAGCUUGUGGUGAGACAGAACAUCAUGGCAGGGAACAUGUAAUGGAGCAGAGCUAUUCAUGGUGGCCAGCAAACAGGAAGAAGGGGCCAGAUAUAUCUUUCUAGGGCAUGUUCCCCAGUGACCCACUUCCUCUAGGUGUUACCUCCUUCAGAUUCCAUCACCUCCCAAUAGUCCAUUAAAUUAUUAAUCCAUCUUUAUAUUAACCUGUUGAUAUGAUCAGAGUUCUUAUGAUCCAAUCACUUCCUUAAAAGUACUACCUCUGAAUAUUGCUGCAAAGGGAACCAAACCUGUUCCAAAUUUGGAAUUUGGAAUAUUCCAAAUUC